rnacentral:rRNA from 1 species
GACGAACGCUGGCGGCGCGCCUAACACAUGCAAGUCGAACGAGCGAGCGAGAGCUUGCUUUCUCGCGCGAGUGGCGAACGGGUGAGUAACGCGUGAGGAACCUGCCUCAAAGAGGGGGACAACAGUUGGAAACGACUGCUAAUACCGCAUAAGCCCACGGUGCCGCAUGGCACAGAGGGAAAAGGAGCAAUCCGCUUUGAGAUGGCCUCGCGUCCGAUUAGCUAGUUGGUGAGGUAAUGGCCCACCAAGGCGACGAUCGGUAGCCGGACUGAGAGGUUGAAUGGCCACAUUGGGACUGAGACACGGCCCAGACUCCUACGGGAGGCAGCAGUGGGGAAUAUUGCACAAUGGGGGAAACCCUGAUGCAGCGACGCCGCGUGGAGGAAGAAGGUCUUCGGAUUGUAAACUCCUGUUGUUGGGGAAGAUAAUGACGGUACCCAACAAGGAAGUGACGGCUAACUACGUG